GUGUCAGCCGCCGCGGUAAUACGGAGGGGGCUAGCGUUGUUCGGAAUUACUGGGCGUAAAGCGCGCGUAGGCGGCUUUGUAAGUUAGAGGUGAAAGCCCGGAGCUCAACUCCGGAACUGCCUUUAAGACUGCAUCGCUAGAACGAUGGAGAGGUAAGUGGAAUUCCGAGUGUAGAGGUGAAAUUCGUAGAUAUUCGGAAGAACACCAGUGGCGAAGGCGACUUACUGGACAUCUGUUGACGCUGAGGUGCGAAAGCGUGGGGAGCAAACAGGAUUAGAAACCCUCGUAGUCC
rnacentral:rRNA from 1 species